rnacentral:misc_RNA from 1 species
GAUGAAGAACGUAGCGAAAUGCGAUAAGUAAUGUGAAUUGCAGAAUUCAGUGAAUCAUCGAAUCUUUGAACGCACAUUGCGCCCCCUGGUAUUCCGGGGGGCAUGCCUGUUCGAGCGUCAUUUCACCACCCAAGCCUCGCUUGGUAUUGGGCAACGCGGUCCGCCGCGUGCCUCAAAUCGUCCGGCUGGGUCUUCUGUCCCCUAAGCGUUGUGGAAACUAUUCGCUAAAGGGUGUUCGGGAGGCUACGCCGUAAAACAACCCCAUUUCUAAGGUUGACCUCGGAUCAGGUAGGGAUACCCGCUGAACUUAAGCAUAUCAAUAAGCGGAGGA